GAGGGUACAGCUCACUGCUAGAAUGUGUGCCUCGCAAGCAUAAGGUCCUGGGUUCAAUCCCCAGUACCUCCA
rnacentral:tRNA from 1 species